GCAGCGCUCCCCCCCGCAGCGCUCCUCGCUCAGGGUGACGGCGCGGCCGCGGGACAGGAAGGUGACGGUGACAUCGGGGACCCCCGGCACCGCGCAGCCGCGCUCCUCCCGCCGCAACACGCGGCCCGACGCUGGGGGCGGGGUCAGGGGUCAAGGGUCAAGGGUUGGGGGCAGGGGGUCAGGGGUCAAGGGUGUGGGAGGAGGGGACAGGGGUCGGGAUGUGGGGUCAGGGGUUGGGGACGUGGGGGUGGAGGAUGGGGACGUGGGGUCAGAGGUCAGGGGUCAAGGACUUGGGGUUAGGGGUUAGGGGUCAGAGACUUGGGGUCAGGGGUCAGGGGUCAAGGAUGUGGGGUUGGAGGUUGGGGACGUGGGGUCGGGGUCAGGGAUUUGGGGUCAGAGGUCAGGGGUCAGGGACUGGGGACACAGGGUCAGAGGUCAGGGAUAGGGGAUGGGAGGUCAGAGAUCAGGGCUUGGGGACGUGAGGUCAGAGGUCAGGGGUCACCAGGAGGUCAGGGGUCAGAGGUCAGGGGUUGGAGGUCAGGGGUCAGAGGUCAGAGGUUAAAGGUCAGAGGUCAGGGGUCGGGGUCAGGGGUCAGAGGUCAGGGGUCAGAGGUCAGAGGUUAAAGGUCGGAGGUCAGGGGUCGGGGGUCAGAGGUCGGGGGUCAGAGGUCAGGGGUCAGAGGUCAGAGGUCAAAGGUCGGAGGUCAGGGGUCAAAGGUCGGAGGUCAGGGGUCAGAGGUCAAAGGUCGGAGGUCAGGGGUCAGAGGUUAAAGGUCGGAGGUCAGGGGUCGGGGGUCAGAGGUCGGGGGUCAGAGGUCAGGGGUCAGAGGUCAGAGGUCAAAGGUCGGAGGUCAGGGGUCAAAGGUCGGAGGUCAGGGGUCAGAGGUCAAAGGUCGGAGGUCAGGGGUCAGAGGUUAAAGGUUGGAGGUCAAAGGUCAGGGGUCGGAGGUCAGAGGUCAGGGGUCGGAGGUCAAAGGUCGGAGGUCAGGUGUCAGAGGUUAAAGGUCAGAGGUCAGA
rnacentral:lncRNA from 1 species